GGGAUCCCUCGCGGGUGCACCGC
rnacentral:snRNA from 1 species